rnacentral:rRNA from 1 species
UGACCCCUUCGGGGUGAUUCUGGCGGAAUGAGCGGCGGACGGGUGAGUAACACGUGGGCAACCUGCCUGUAAGACUGGGAUAACUUCGGGAAACCGGAGCUAAUACCGGAUAGUAUUUCCUUUCUCCUGAUCGGAAAUGGAAAGACGGUUUCGGCUGUCACUUACAGAUGGGCCCGCGGUGCAUUAGCUAGUUGGCGGGGUAAUGGCCCACCAAGGCGACGAUGCAUAGCCGACCUGAGAGGGUGAUCGGCCACACUGGGACUGAGACACGGCCCAGACUCCUACGGGAGGCAGCAGUAGGGAAUCUUCCGCAAUGGACGAAAGUCUGACGGAGCAACGCCGCGUGAGCGAUGAAGGCCUUCGGGUCGUAAAGCUCUGUUGUCAGGGAAGAACAAGUACAAGAGUAACUGCUUGUACCUUGACGGUACCUGACCAGAAAGCCCCGGCUAACUACGUGCCAGCAGCCGCGGUAAUACGUAGGGGGCAAGCGUUGUCCGGAAUUAUUGGGCGUAAAGGGCGCGUAGGCGGUUUCUUAAGUCUGAUGUGAAAGCCCACAGCUUAACUGUGGAGGGUCAUUGGAAACUGGGGAACUUGAGUGCAGAAGAGGAGAGUGGAAUUCCACGUGUAGCGGUGAAAUGCGUAGAUAUGUGGAGGAACACCAGUGGCGAAGGCGACUCUCUGGUCUGUAACUGACGCUGAGGCGCGAAAGCGUGGGGAGCGAACAGGAUUAGAUACCCUGGUAGUCCACGCCGUAAACGAUGAGUGCUAGGUGUUAGGGGGUUUCCGCCCCUUAGUGCUGAAGUUAACGCAUUAAGCACUCCGCCUGGGGAGUACGGCCGCAAGGCUGAAACUCAAAAGAAUUGACGGGGGCCCGCACAAGCGGUGGAGCAUGUGGUUUAAUUCGAAGCAACGCGAAGAACCUUACCAGGUCUUGACAUCCGCUGACAACCUCGGAGACAAGGCGUUCCCUUCGGGGACAGCGUGACAGGUGGUGCAUGGUUGUCGUCAGCUCGUGUCGUGAGAUGUUGGGUUAAGUCCCGCAACGAGCGCAACCCUUGAUUCUAGUUGCCAGCAUUCAGUUGGGCACUCUAGAGUGACUGCCGGUGACAAACCGGAGGAAGGUGGGGAUGACGUCAAAUCAUCAUGCCCCUUAUGACCUGGGCUACACACGUGCUACAAUGGAUGGU